CUCUGAGACUAAGCCAUGCAUGUCUAAGUAUAAACAAAUUUGUACUGUAAACUGCGGACGGCUCAUUAAAUCAGUUACAAUCUACUUGAUCGUAUAUUCAAAGAAUUAAUCGGGUAACCCUAGUAAUUCUAGAGCUAAUACGUGCAAAAAGCUCCGACCUCUUUUAACCGAGGGGAAAGAGUGUAUUUAUUAGGUAACUUAAAACCAAUCAGCCCAAAAGGCUGUUUUGUUGAUGAUUCAUAAUAACUUUGCAAAUCGCGGGCCAAUGUCUGCGAUGAUACAAACGAGUUUCUGACCUAUCAACUUUAGAUGGCAGGAUAGGGGCUUGCCAUGGUGACAACGGGUGACGGGGAAUUAGGGUUCGAUUCCGGAGAGGGAGCCUUGAGAAAACGGCUUACCACUUCC
rnacentral:rRNA from 1 species